rnacentral:rRNA from 1 species
GAAUAUUGGACAAUGGGCGCAAGCCUGAUCCAGCAAUGCCGCGUGAGUGAUGAAGGCCUUAGGGUUGUAAAGCUCUUUUACCCGGGAUGAUAAUGACAGUACCGGGAGAAUAAGCCCCGGCUAACUCCGUGCCAGCAGCCGCGGUAAUACGGAGGGGGCUAGCGUUGUUCGGAAAUACUGGGCGUAAAGCGAACGUAGGCGGCUUGGCAAGUCAGGGGUGAAAUCCCAGUGCUCAACACUGGAACUGCCUUUGAAACUGCCAGGCUUGAAUCCUGGAGAGGCGAGUGGAAUUCCGAGUGUAGAGGUGAAAUUCGUAGAUAUUCGGAAGAACACCAGUGGCGAAGGCGACUCGCUGGACAGGUAUUGACGCUGAGGUUCGAAAGCGUGGGGAGCAAACAGG